rnacentral:rRNA from 1 species
GAUGAACGCUGGCGGUAUGCUUAACACAUGCAAGUCGAACGGACUCUUCGGAGUUAGUGGCGGACGGGUGAGUAACGCGUGAGAAUCUGGCUUUGGGUUCGGGACAACCACUGGAAACGGUGGCUAAUACCGGAUGUGCCGAGAGGUAAAAGAGAAAUUGCCUGAAGAUGAGCUCGCGUCUGAUUAGCUAGUUGGUGAGGUAAAGGCUCACCAAGGCAGCGAUCAGUAGCUGGUCUGAGAGGAUGACCAGCCACACUGGGACUGAGACACGGCCCAGACUCCCGAGGGAGGGAGGCGGGGGGGAUUUUCCGGAAUGGGGGGAAGCCUGACGGGGCAAUUCCGGGGGAGGAAAGAAGGCUUUUGGUGUUUAAACCUCUUUUUUUAGGGAAAAACAAAAUGGCGGGACCCUAAGAAACCGCACCCGCUAACCCCG